UACAGAGGGUGCAAGCGUUGUUCGGAAUUAUUGGGCGUAAAGGGCGCGUAGGCGGUGCGGUAAGUCUGUAGUGAAAUCUCUGGGCUCAACUCAGAGUCUGCUGCAGAAACUGCCGUGCUUGAGUGUGGGAGAGGUGAGUGGAAUUCCCGGUGUUGCGGUGAAAUGCGUAGAUAUCGGGAGGAACACCUGUGGCGAAAGCGGCUCACUGGACCACAACUGACGCUGAGGCGCGAAAGCUAGGGGAGCAAACAGGG
rnacentral:rRNA from 1 species